AUGGUUCAGCAUGUGCAGAGGCUUGCUGCCGCCCCUGAAGACCUAAGUACAGUCCUUGGGACCCAUGUGUUGUUAGCAGUGAUUCAGCUGACCUCCAGAACUCCUGCGGGAUCCCCGGCUGGCCUGCACUCACAGAGCGAGGAGCAGCCGGCGUCCUCCGAGGUCAGCAUCAGGAGGAGCCUGCCAUUCUGCCGCGGCCAGGUGGUACGCGGCUUCAGCCGCGGCUCCAAGUAACUGGGCAUCCCCACAACCAAUUUUCCUGAACAAGUAGUAGACAAUCUUCCAGCUGAUGUGUCCAGUGGCAUUUAUUAUGGUUGGGCCAGCGUUGGGAGUGGAGAUGUCCAUAAAAUGGUGGUGAGCAUAGGAUGGAAUCCAUACUACAAGAAUGUGAAAAAGUCCAUGGAAACCCAUAUCAUCCAUACCUUCAAAGAGGACUUCUAUUGGGAAAUUCUCAAUGUGGCCAUUGUUGGCUACCUCAGACCUGAAAAGAACUUUGAUUCUUUGGAGUCACUUAUUUCUGUAAUUCAAGGUGAUAUUGAAGAAGCUAAAAAAAAACAGCUGGAUUUACCAGAACAUUUGAAACUCAAAGAUGACAAUUUCUUCCAAGUUUCUAAAGACAAAAUUAUGAAUGGCCACUGAUGAGAAGUACCUUCCCUGUCCACCCAUUAGUGUCUCAGUGCUUCUGAUAUAGUCUCAUCCUGUUCAUAUUUUAAAUCAAGUGUUUCCCUGUAGAUGUCAAAAGGCCUCCAGCAGUUAGCUCCAUCAUGUUGCAUAGAACUAAAGAUUCAUUCAGAAAUCAAGACUUUAAGUGUAAUAUGUUGAUUAAAAUGUAGCACUAGAAAGCUAGUGUCUUGUAAUAA